UCCUGGGCGGCCGGCCUUACACAUGCCAGUCGAGCGGUAACAGGGGGUGCUUGCACCCCGCUGACGAGCGGCGGACGGGUGAGUAAUGCUUAGGAAUCUGCCCAGUAGUGGGGGACAACAGUCGGAAACGGCUGCUAAUACCGCAUACGCCCUACGGGGGAAAGCAGGGGAUCUUCGGACCUUGCGCUAUUGGAUGAGCCUAAGUCGGAUUAGCUAGUUGGUGGGGUAAAGGCCUACCAAGGCGACGAUCCGUAGCUGGUCUGAGAGGAUGAUCAGCCACAUCGGGACUGAGACACGGCCCGAACUCCUACGGGAGGCAGCAGUGGGGAAUAUUGGACAAUGGGGGCAACCCUGAUCCAGCCAUGCCGCGUGUGUGAAGAAGGCUUUCGGGUUGUAAAGCACUUUCAGCGAGGAGGAAGGCCUUAAAGUUAAUACCUUUAAGGAUUGACGUUACUCGCAGAAGAAGCACCGGCUAACUCCGUGCCAGCAGCCGCGGUAAUACGGAGGGUGCAAGCGUUAAUCGGAAUUACUGGGCGUAAAGCGCGCGUAGGUGGUUUGGUAAGCGAGAUGUGAAAGCCCCGGGCUUAACCUGGGAACGGCAUUUCGAACUGUCAGACUAGAGUGUGGUAGAGGGUAGUGGAAUUUCCUGUGUAGCGGUGAAAUGCGUAGAUAUAGGAAGGAACACCAGUGGCGAAGGCGGCUACCUGGACCAACACUGACACUGAGGUGCGAAAGCGUGCGGAGCAAACAGGAUUAGAUACCCUGGUAGUCCACGCCGUAAACGAUGUCAACUAGCCGUUGGGACUCUUGAAGUCUUAGUGGCGCAGCUAACGCACUAAGUUGACCGCCUGGGGAGUACGGCCGCAAGGUUAAAACUCAAAUGAAUUGACGGGGGCCCGCACAAGCGGUGGAGCAUGUGGUUUAAUUCGACGCAACGCGAGAACCUUACCUGGGCCUUGACAUCCAGAG
rnacentral:rRNA from 1 species